rnacentral:rRNA from 1 species
AGAGUUUGAUCAUGGCUCAGAUUGAACGCUGGCGGCAGGCCUAACACAUGCAAGUCGAACGGUAACAGGAAGAAGCUUGCUUCUUUGCUGACGAGUGGCGGACGGGUGAGUAAUGUCUGGGAAACUGCCUGAUGGAGGGGGAUAACUACUGGAAACGGUAGCUAAUACCGCAUAACGUCGCAAGACCAAAGAGGGGGACCUUCGGGCCUCUUGCCAUCGGAUGUGCCCAGAUGGGAUUAGCUAGUAGGUGAGGUAACGGCUCACCUAGGCGACGAUCCCUAGCUGGUCUGAGAGGAUGACCAGCCACACUGGAACUGAGACACGGUCCAGACUCCUACGGGAGGCAGCAGUGGGGAAUAUUGCACAAUGGGCGCAAGCCUGAUGCAGCCAUGCCGCGUGUAUGAAGAAGGCCUUCGGGUUGUAAAGUACUUUCAGCGGGGAGGAAGGGAGUAAAGUUAAUACCUUUGCUCAUUGACGUUACCCGCAGAAGAAGCACCGGUUAACUCCGUGCCAGCAGCCGCGGUAAUACGGAGGGUGCAAGCGUUAAUCGGAAUUACUGGCGUAAAGCGCACGCAGGCGGUUUGUUAAGUCAGAUGUGAAAUCCCGGGCUCAACCUGGGAACUGCAUCUGAUACUGGCAAGCUUGAGUCUCGUAGAGGGGGGUAGAAUUCCAGGUGUAGCGGUGAAAUGCGUAGAGAUCUGGAGGAAUACCGGUGGCGAAGGCGGCCCCCUGGACGAAGACUGACGCUCAGGUGCGAAAGCGUGGGGAGCAAACAGGAUUAGAUACCCUGGUAGUCCACGCCGUAAACGAUGUCGACUUGGAGGUUGUGCCCUUGAGGCGUGGCUUCCGGAGCUAACGCGUUAAGUCGACCGCCUGGGGAGUACGGCCGCAAGGUUAAAACUCAAAUGAAUUGACGGGGGCCCGCACAAGCGGUGGAGCAUGUGGUUUAAUUCGAUGCAACGCGAAGAACCUUACCUGGUCUUGACAUCCACGGAAGUUUUCAGAGAUGAGAAUGUGCCUUCGGGAACCGUGAGACAGGUGCUGCAUGGCUGUCGUCAGCUCGUGUUGUGAAAUGUUGGGUUAAGUCCCGCAACGAGCGCAACCCUUAUCCUUUGUUGCCAGCGGUCCGGCCGGGAACUCAAAGGAGACUGCCAGUGAUAAACUGGAGGAAGGUGGGGAUGACGUCAAGUCAUCAUGGCCCUUACGACCAGGGCUACACACGUGCUACAAUGGCGCAUACAAAGAGAAGCGACCUCGCGAGAGCAAGCGGACCUCAUAAAGUGCGUCGUAGUCCGGAUUGGAGUCUGCAACUCGACUCCAUGAAGUCGGAAUCGCUAGUAAUCGUGGAUCAGAAUGCCACGGUGAAUACGUUCCCGGGCCUUGUACACACCGCCCGUCACACCAUGGGAGUGGGUUGCAAAAGAAGUAGGUAGCUUAACCUUCGGGAGGGCGCUUACCACUUUGUGAUUCAUGACUGGGGUGAAGUCGUAACAAGGUAACCGUAGGGGAACCUGCGGUUGGAUCACCU